UGCGCAGGCGGCUAUGUGUGUGAGGCGUGAAAGCCCGGGGCUUAACCCCGGAAUUGCACCUCAAACUACAUGGCUAGAGCAUUGGAGAGGGUAGCAGAAUUCAUGGUGUAGCAGUGAAAUGCGUAGAUAUCAUGAGGAAUACCAGAGGCGAAGGCGGCUACCUGGACAAUUGCUGACGCUCAGGCACGAAAGCGUGGGGAGCAAAAG
rnacentral:rRNA from 1 species